GGGGCUUUAGCUCAGCUGGGAGAGCGCCUGCCUUGCACGCAGGAGGUCGACGGUUCGAUCCCGUUAAGCUCCA
rnacentral:tRNA from 1 species